GUAAAAAGUGAACAUGGGUCUAAGUUGGAUUACUAGAACUAUUUGAGUCUAUUUACUUCGUAUUUCUGCUUUCCUAAUCGUAAUGGAUUAUUGUACACUCAUUCAACUUGAGCGCAUAGAAAUUCACAAAUACUCAAAUAUCUCACUUUCACCCAAAGUAUAAUUUCCCUUUAAAAGAAUCUCCGCGUCAGACGUUUUUUUCUGACGUCAUGACGCACGAGCCCGAUUUCAACUUCUGUUUCUCAACUGACAGCCGCCAUUUUUUUCUCUCCGGACUCGGAUGAAAAAGAUGACAGGAGGUAACGUUAGUGAACCAGGAGCUCAGUGUCAGGAAUUUCAGGGCGAGGUGGCCUGCACUUUUCAGACAUUACGAGAUCAAUGCAGAGUUACAUAGGCUUAUGGAUGUUCCACUGGAAGACAUGUUCUUUGCACAGUUGGAUGUAUACAUGAGUCAACUAAUCAGAGUAAUCCGUUCCAAAGGAGGAGCAACCCCUGAGAAGACUGCUGCAAUUUUUCACAUAUUGGAUCAGACUGAAAACAUUCACGUGAAAAGAGAGUGUGUCCUGAAGGCCCUCAUCGUUUUCCUGGGGGGAAAUCCUUAAGGAGUAUCUUGAGAACCAGCAGAUGAUUGCGAGGGU